rnacentral:rRNA from 1 species
CCUACGGGUGGCAGCAGUGAGGAAUAUUGGUCAAUGGGCGAGAUCCUGAACCAGCCAAGCCGCGUGAAGGAUGACGGCCCUAUGGGUUGUAAACCUCUUUUGUCGGAGAACAAAACCCGUGACGAGUACCGGACUGCGUGUAUCCGAUGAAAAAGCACCGGCUAACUCCGUGCCAGCAGCCGCGGUAAUACGGAGGAUGCGAGCGUUAUCCGGAUUUAUUGGGUUUAAGGGGUGCGUAGGCGGUCUGUUAAGUCGGCGGUAAAAUUGCGGGGCCCAACCCGGUCGAGCCGUUGAAACUGGUUUUCUUGAGUGAGCGAGAAGUAUGCGGAAUGCGUGGUGUAGCGGUGAAAUGCAUAGAUAUGACGCAGAACUCCGAUUGCGAAGGCAGCAUGCCGGCGCUGAACUGACGCUCAUGCACGAAAGUGUGGGUAUCGAACAGGAUUAGAUACCCGAGUAGUC